GAUGAACUUUAUUCUUGUUUUAAAGUUUGCUUGAAUUUGAUUUUAUAUGUAAAUGGUUGUUUAACCUUAUCUAAAAGAUAGGUUGGUUUUUAAUCAGUAAGUGAAAUUAGUAAUUUGGGAAUCCAAUAAUUAGUUAUAAUAUAAGUAUUGAUAAAAUAUGUGCCAGCAUUCGCGGUUAUACAUAGGAUACUAGUGAAUUGAAUCAGUAUAUAUAGUUAUUUUAUGGGAUAAAUAUGAUCUAAUGAUUUUUGAGUGAAAUCUAAUUUUUUAUGAAUUAUUGGUUGAUAUAGGAGAAGCUAUGAAAUUUAAAUGAAUAGACUAGGAUUAGAUACCCUAUUAUUUUGAAUGUAAAAUUAUUAGAAUUAGAGUAGUAUUAGUUAUGGUCUUGAAACUUAAAGAAUUUGGCGGUAUUUUAGUCUGUUUAGAGGAAUCUGUCCCUUAAUCGAUAAUCCACGUUGAACCUUACUUAAUUUAGGUAUGUAUACCGCCGUUGUUGAAAAUCUUUUUAGAGUUAAUUUCUUAAUUUUUUAUUAGUAAAUAUCUCAGGUCAAGGUGCAGCUUAUGAUUAAGUGGAGAUGGAUUACAAUAUUAUCAGAUAAACGAAUUUUUUAAUUAGAAUUGAAAUGAAGGUGGAUUUAAUUGUAAAUUUGUGAAGAUUAUCAAGUUGAUAUAAGCUCUAAGAUGUGUACACAUCGCCCGUCACUCUCGUUAAUUAAGAUGAGAUAAGUCGUAACAAAGUAGGUGUACCGGAAGGUGUAGCUAGAAUGU
rnacentral:ncRNA from 1 species